rfam:Salmo salar isolate Sally breed double haploid chromosome ssa14, whole genome shotgun sequence.
UAGCUCAGUUGGUAGAGCAUGGUGUUUGCAACGCCAGGGUUGUGGGUUCGAUUCCGAC